rnacentral:rRNA from 2 species
AGAGUUUGAUCCUGGCUCAGGACGAACGCUGGCGGCGUGCUAAUACAUGCAAGUCGAACGAACUCUGGUAUUGAUUGGUGCUUGCAUCAUGAUUUACAUUUGAGUGAGUGGCGAACUGGUGAGUAACACGUGGGAAACCUGCCCAGAAGCGGGGGAUAACACCUGGAAACAGAUGCUAAUACCGCAUAACAACUUGGACCGCAUGGUCCGAGCUUGAAAGAUGGCUUCGGCUAUCACUUUUGGAUGGUCCCGCGGCGUAUUAGCUAGAUGGUGGGGUAACGGCUCACCAUGGCAAUGAUACGUAGCCGACCUGAGAGGGUAAUCGGCCACAUUGGGACUGAGACACGGCCCAAACUCUACGGGAGGCAGCAGUAGGGAAUCUUCCACAAUGGACGAAAGUCUGAUGGAGCAACGCCGCGUGAGUGAAGAAGGGUUUCGGCUCGUAAAACUCUGUUGUUAAAGAAGAACAUAUCUGAGAGUAACUGUUCAGGUAUUGACGGUAUUUAACCAGAAAGCCACGGCUAACUACGUGCCAGCAGCCGCGGUAAUACGUAGGUGGCAAGCGUUGUCCGGAUUUAUUGGGCGUAAAGCGAGCGCAGGCGGUUUUUUAAGUCUGAUGUGAAAGCCUUCGGCUCAACCGAAGAAGUGCAUCGGAAACUGGGAAACUUGAGUGCAGAAGAGGACAGUGGAACUCCAUGUGUAGCGGUGAAAUGCGUAGAUAUAUGGAAGAACACCAGUGGCGAAGGCGGCUGUCUGGUCUGUAACUGACGCUGAGGCUCGAAAGUAUGGGUAGCAAACAGGAUUAGAUACCCUGGUAGUCCAUACCGUAAACGAUGAAUGCUAAGUGUUGGAGGGUUUCCGCCCUUCAGUGCUGCAGCUAACGCAUUAAGCAUUCCGCCUGGGGAGUACGGCCGCAAGGCUGAAACUCAAAGGAAUUGACGGGGGCCCGCACAAGCGGUGGAGCAUGUGGUUUAAUUCGAAGCUACGCGAAGAACCUUACCAGGUCUUGACAUACUAUGCAAAUCUAAGAGAUUAGACGUUCCCUUCGGGGACAUGGAUACAGGUGGUGCAUGGUUGUCGUCAGCUCGUGUCGUGAGAUGUUGGGUUAAGUCCCGCAACGAGCGCAACCCUUAUUAUCAGUUGCCAGCAUUAAGUUGGGCACUCUGGUGAGACUGCCGGUGACAAACCGGAGGAAGGUGGGGAUGACGUCAAAUCAUCAUGCCCCUUAUGACCUGGGCUACACACGUGCUACAAUGGAUGGUACAACGAGUUGCGAACUCGCGAGAGUAAGCUAAUCUCUUAAAGCCAUUCUCAGUUCGGAUUGUAGGCUGCAACUCGCCUACAUGAAGUCGGAAUCGCUAGUAAUCGCGGAUCAGCAUGCCGCGGUGAAUACGUUCCCGGGCCUUGUACACACCGCCCGUCACACCAUGAGAGUUUGUAACACCCAAAGUCGGUGGGGUAACCUUUUAGGAACCAGCCGCCUAAGGUGGGACAGAUGAUUAGGGUGAAGUCGUAACAAGGUAACC